CACGCGGAUCGUGAAGACACGUCCCGCGCGGCAGUUCGACGUAACGCUUAAGAAACGCCUCAUCGGGUCGUCGACGAGUGCAUCGCCGCGGCCUUAACGCGUCAUUGGCUCCAACGGUGAAGCUAAGAUAACAAUCAUCGCGAUCGAACCUUCGGAUAUUACGCCGUUGUCUCCAUUCCGGAUCGUUGGGUAUCGUCGAACCGGAGAGAUAAAAAUCGGCCGGAGUUCGGCUGCUUCGCGUUGUCCCGACGUUUCUGCUGCGACGACGGACUUUUCACACGUGGUCAGAGAAGAUAACUUGGGCUGCUUUUUCGUGUGUCUACCGGCUUCCGUUUUCAUCGUCGCCCUGUUUUCACCGGAUCUCGGAAACCCAGUCGGCAUCAUCUAUUAUAAAUGGAUUCAACGCGGGAUUAUUACAUAAAUUUCACGUGGUGCACGCAUAUAUCUUGAAUUUACACUUCACGCGGGCAGUAAGAUUAUUUAUGCAGAUAAUUGUUUUUAUACAUUAUGCGUUUUUAUGAAUUAUGUAUUUAUACAACGUAUGCGUGUAUGAAAUAUGAUACGUAACAAUUCCAAUGUACAUUUUCUCCUCGUUAAAGGGGAAAAGAGAUCAUUUCGCACUACGCUGUGUCAACGCAAGCAUUAAACAACAUUCCGCGCGAUUUAAUAAAACAACUCGCCGAAUUCUGCGCGUUACCGUUCACAUCAGA